rnacentral:rRNA from 1 species
AUACGUAGGGGGCGAGCGUUGUCCGGAAUGAUUGGGCGUAAAGGGCGCGUAGGCGGCGCGGUAAGUCUGGAGUGAAAGUCCUGCUUUCAAGGUGGAAUUGCUUUGGAUACUGCCGCGCUUGAGUGCAGGAGAGGUUAUCGGAAUUCCCGGUGUAGCGGUGAAAUGCGUAGAGAUCGGGAGGAACACCAGUGGCGAAGGCGGGUAACUGGACUGCAACUGACGCUGAGGCGCGAAAGUGUGGGGAGCAAACAGGAUUAGAUACCCUGGUAGUCCACACUGUAAACGAUGAAUGCUAGGUGUAGGGGGUAUCGACCCCUUCUGUGCCGCAGUCAACACAAUAAGCAUUCCGCCUGGGGAGUACGGCCGCAAGGUUGAAACUCAAAGGAAUUGACGGGG